rnacentral:tRNA from 1 species
GGCUUUAUAGUCAAUAAUGAUAUUAGACUGCAAAUCUGAAGGAGUAAAUUUUACUGAGGCUU